ACUGUGACGUCGUUGUCUGUUGACGUACACGUCAUUUCGUUACUAUCGAGACGAGAAAAUGAAAGCGAUUGCCAAACUACAUUCUUUUAUUGUGUUGCUCUGUGUACUGUUACCAUACAGUAGUGGUAGGCCUAGGCCUCUUUGCUAUCCAGGCUGUGAUGUCAAUGAACAAGUACUCAAGUGCUCCAGCCUUAAUGUUCAACAUCUGGAAUACCUGAAUCCAUGCAAAGCAGUAAUAAUUGACCUAAGAAACCUCCAGUUAGAGUGUACAUGUGACUUUGUGGAAUUUGCUGAAAGGAUCCGUGGCACCAAGGGAGUUGUACUCUAUCACAAUGUAGACUGCACCUCGGAGAUCAUUGACAUAUGUUGUAAGAUAAACAUAUAUAUAUAUAUACUGUAGAUCCUGAAAUUAAUACGUCCCUAAAUUAAGGCGAGUGAUGAUGGGCAGACUAAAACGUGGCAUGCAAUUAAUCAGAGUGGCCUCCCUUUGAAAUAU